rnacentral:rRNA from 1 species
UACGGGGGGGGGCAAGCGUUGUUCGGAAUUACUGGGCGUAAAGGGCUCGUAGGCGGCCAACUAAGUCAGACGUGAAAUCCCUCGGCUUAACCGGGGAACUGCGUCUGAUACUGGAUGGCUUGAGUUUGGGAGAGGGAUGCGGAAUUCCAGGUGUAGCGGUGAAAUGCGUAGAUAUCGUAAGGAAGACCAGUGGCGAAGGCGGGUCUCUGGACAGUUCCUGACGCUGAGGCACGAAGGCCAGGGGGAGCAAAACGGGG